rnacentral:rRNA from 1 species
UCGCCUGUUUAUCAAAAACAUGUCUUCUUGAUUUUAUAAUUUGAAGUCUGACCUGCCCACUGAUGUUUAAUGCAUUAAAGGGCCGCGGUAUUUUGACCGUGCAAAGGUAGCAUAAUCAUUAGUCUUUUUAUUGAAGGCUUGUAUGAAUGGUUGGACGAGGUAUUGACUGUCUCUGUGUUAUUGAGAUUUAGAAUUUAACUUUUAAGUUAAAAGGCUUAAUUGUUUUUAAAGGACGAGAAGACCCUAUAGAGCUUUACAAUCUUUUUUUUGUUAUUUAUUUGGGGGUAUCUUUAUAGUAAAAGUGUGAUUGUUUUGUUGGGGUGACAGGAAGAUGUAAUAAACUCUUUUUAGAUUAAAACCAUAAAUUAAUGAAUUGUUGAUCCAUUAGUAGUGAUUAUAAGACUAAGUUACCUUAGGGAUAACAGCGUAAUCUUUUUCGAGAGUUCUUAUCGACAAAAAGGAUUGCGACCUCGAUGUUGGAUUAAGAGUAAUUUUGGGUGUAGAUGUUCAAAGUUUAGGUCUGUUCGACCUUUAAAUUCUUACAUGAUCUGAGUUCAAACCGGAGA